rnacentral:lncRNA from 1 species
AACUCAUCCUCUCUUCAAAAGGCAAAACUACGCACAAAUACAUAAAUUAUAUGUAUCUCCAGUUUCCUCAAAAACCGUGUGUCAGAUCUAAAAUUCGUCAGCGCCAAUGGUUUCAGAAUAGUCGAACCAUUGAUAACGAGCUAUUGGGGUGCUAUGAACGGAGUCCGAUACGCACCAGAAGCCAUCUCCACUGAUCGGCCUCUCCGGAAAAUCGGAGUUACUAUUCACUUUAAGUGAUUAGCAAUGAUCGCGUAACUUCUCCAUUCUAACUCAUUUUCUGCUGAAACUUGACGAGUGCUUUUGUAAUUAAAUUACACAAAAAAACAUCGUCAACAAAGAGUUUAGCUACAUUGCAAAAUCUCAGUCCUCACAUUUUAAUUUCCAAAUAUUUCGCUGCUAUUUUUUCUUUUUUU